rnacentral:lncRNA from 1 species
AGCCAAUCUAGCUGACAUCUUGUUCUUGGAUUUCCCACUUUCCAGAUUCAUGAGAAAUAAACUUCUAUGUCUUAAGCUUUCCAGUUUCAGCUAUUUCUUCUUUUGUCUGUUUUUGAGACCGAGUCAUGCUUCAUCACCCAGGCUGGAGUGCAGUGGCAUGAUUCUCCUACCUAAAGAGAGUCUCGUGCCUCAUCCUCUUGAGUAGCAGGGAGUACAGACGCAUGCCACCAUGCCUGGCUAAUUUUUUUUUUUUUUUUUUUUUUGGGAAACAGAAUCUAACUCUGUCACCCGGGAUGGAGUAAGUGGUGCAAUCAUGGCUCACUGCAACAUCCAACUUCAAGGUUCAAGUGAUUCUCAUGUCUCAGCCUCAUGAGAAGCUGGGAUUACAGGUUCAUACAAACACACCCAGCUAACUUUUGUAUUUUUACUAGAGAUGCGGUUUCACCAUGUUGGCCAGGCUGGUCUAGAACUUCUGACCUCAAGUGAUCCAGCCGUCUCAGCCUCCCAAAAUAUUGGGAUNNNNNNNNNNAAAAAAAAAAAAAAAAAAAAAAAAAAUUGGCUGGGCAUGGUGGUGCACAUCUAUAAUCCCAGCUACUUAGGAGGCUGAGGUAGCAGAUUGCUUGAACCCAGGAGGCAGAGGUUGCAGUGAGCUGAGAUUGCACCACUGCACUCCAGCAUGGGUGACAGAGCAAUACUCCAUCUAAAAAAAAAAAAAGAAAGAAAGAAACUGUACCUUUAAUAGACAUAUGGUUUUGCCACAUUGUCUAGGCUGGUCUCGAAUUCCUGACCUCAGGUGAUUCACCCACCCACUUCCAAAGUGCUGGGAUUACUGGCAUGUGUGACUUCACCCAGCUGACAUUAUUUCUCUAGGUUCCCACGCCGCCCCUA